rnacentral:lncRNA from 1 species
AAGUUCAGGUGCUCUCUCUCUCUCUGACAUCGGCGUCUGUGAGGAGGAGGAAAACCUCUGAUUUGACGCAUUAACGUAUAGGCUGUCAGCACGAGGAGGGGGGAGGUAAACAAGAUGGCGACAACCUGAGAGGCAAGAGUAACACGAAUAGUCAGAAAUUAGAACCGAUAUCUCACUAGAGCCGAGUGAAACGUUUGAGUCAAGUCGGACCGCUACGAAAGGAGGAGAAAGUACUCUAGAGGAGAACAAAAUUCACCCGGAUCCAGGUGAGACCCGGUACCAGGAGGUAGCUGUAGUUAGCCUGUUAACUAUUUAGCUAGCAGUUUACAUUGGGAGUCUAAACGGUAUGCUAGCCCGGUUAGCCUGCGUUAGCUCGCUGUAUCGUGUUUGGGUGGUAUAUGCUUGUAAUAACUUAUUCUAGAUUUAUUAUUUGUUUAAAAUUACGAAAUUCUGCCAAAGAGUUGUGUCUGUCGCUUCUUUGCCGGUAAAUGAGGUGAAGUUGUGAAAUGCUAAUCUCACCGUCAGGCAAAGUUAGCGAGCUAGCGCUGCACAGACCCCGUUAGCUACAGAUGUGUGACGACGUUUCGGAUAUCAUCCUCAGUUGCUCACCGUCAGCUCUCCAGUGGGAGAAAUAAGUUUGGGCUGUUUAUAUCCAGGCUCUUGAUCGAUAACCCGCAGUGGGGGGUAAAGGGGCUCAAAUUAAAGAAGCAAAUAGUUAGUGUUCAUGUUUGCAUGCUAGUUCAUUCAAGCAGACAUGCUAUGUUAGCCUCCAAGCCUGCAAACAAUCUUGAUGUGUUUGUUCAAUCUGAGCGACCUUAUUAUCAGUAUAAACUCCCAGACCACUGUGAUUCAUUCAAGUAUUUUAUCAUUUUCUAGUUUUUUUUGUUGAACAAUCAUACCUCCUCAUGUUGAAAACUCAGUCCGGUUAACCGGCCAGGUGUUGGUUAUUGAGCUAAAUCUACUCAAAGCGAGUUAAAAGGAGGUUUGCUGUAUUUUAUAUAAAUUUUUUGAUGAACCUUGUUUACAGGCGCCGACCAGCAGGGACCGUGGAGGCAUGGAGGAGACCUGAGGAGAGCCUGACACAUCAGAUGGCUCAGAUGAGCGACAGGAGCCGGACUGAUGCCAGAAGCUGGGCUGACACUGCUGUAUACCUUUGGCUGUAGACCUGUACUUGGAUCUGGUUCACCUGUCCACACAGGUGUCUCCUGAGAAGAAUAUGUUGUGAAGCAUGGACCUCUGACAGAAAUGUUGUGCUGCAUGGCCUUCAAUCAGGACUGGACCUAAGACUGCGUAGUAUUAAACUUGUAUAAGUGGUUCCCAGUUACACUAAGAGAGAGAAAGGAUUUUUAGAUAAAUAUUUUUCUUAUUUCUGCCCAACUGAACUUGUUGCAGAUGUGGAACAACAUGCAAAACUGAAGCACUAACCUGGCAUUGGAUCUAACUGCUUCCCCAUCUCUGUUUGCACGUACGGAGUAAAAAGAGCCCUUAUGUUUACAAAAUUUGGAUCGACCCUCACCUUCCUCAACUCUCAGGCCUGAUUACGCCCUCUCACGUGUCCAGUAUUUUGUAAUACAUCUGUAUUAAAACUAUUGGAAUCAAAAUACUCAGCUUAGAGCUGAAAGGUUACCAGUGGAUUAGUCUCCAGCAGCAAUCAUAACUCUUUGCAAACGUUUUUGCACAGGAAGUUUAAGCUGUGGCUGCCGAAAUGAGUACCGGCGAGCUGCAUCAUCUUGACUAUCUCAAUGAAAAUGAACUGAUGGAGAUGGAUACUUUUAUUCACCGCAUUGACUCUACAGAGGUGAUCUACCAGCCCCGGAGAAAGAGAGCAAAGCUGAUAGGAAAGUACUUGAUGGGGGACCUGCUGGGGGAGGGAUCUUAUGGCAAAGUGAAAGAGAUGCUGGACUCUGAAACACUUUGUCGCAGGGCUGUCAAAAUACUGAAGAAGAAAAAACUGAGGCGGAUUCCCAAUGGAGAAGCCAAUGUGAAAAAGUGAGUGUAUUUUUGUUUUAUUGACCCUUUCUGUUUGAUGCUUUAUCAUCCUUUUUAGUCUGCAAUCAGGGCAUCCAGAUUUUGGCAGUGUAGUCACUUCAAAAUUGUGUCCUUACUCACCUAUAACAACACCCAACACCAUACUGACAGCACACCAAACAUACUCGUGCUUCACUGCAUCAAGGCAGAAACUUUAGUGUCUGAAAAACUAAAAGGUCUUUGAUGUAAUGUGCUUAAGCAUUUGCCAAAAUCAAACAACAGUUCUAGUGUGAAAAAAAGCAAAUUAAGAUAUUUCUGUUUAACAACAAGAUAUUUCUCAGCAUGUUCAUCAUAAUCAUGUCAACUGUACAGUUAACUACGUAUUAGAAAGAUCUUAAAGUAAUGUGACCAUGUGUACAGAGUCUCAGUCUGUACUUACACACAAACACAGAGCUUGAAACAUGCAAUAGUCAUCAGCAUAAGACAAGAAGAAGCAUCAGGAUUUAGGAUCUAGCGUCCAGAGUGAAGAAAGGAAAAAAAGAAUGCAUCUAAAGGGUGGUCAACAUCAGACGUAGUCCUAGUAUAUUAAUUCAUGUUGAUGUCAACAGAUAUUUCCAUAAGCAGCUUUAUCAUUGUGAAUCAAGGCUCAGUGCAGGAGUGCUUCAUAGAAAUGAUAAAACUAUUAGUCCUACUGUAAGUGGUCAUAUGCUAAAUUUGGAACAUUAUCAAAAGAGAUGUUUGUUGUACAAGUCUGUCAAAGCAUAACAACAUGAUAUUUAAUACCGAUGAAGAUAUAUUCCCCUUUAAAUCACAUUACAACUGCAUCACUAAUGUGUUUUUUUAAUCUUAGACGAAAGGCUGAUGAUUCAUUUUAAAAAGUCUGCUUAACAAAACCAACAAUAGUGUCUCUGUUUUAAUGCCAUCACUUUCUUUUACCCUGCACCCCCUGUUUCCAGAUGACUAUCAGAAGUUUUAAUCACACAGUGCUUUAUUAAAUAUUACUCCAGCCUCUCACUGAGGGACCGGACUAAUUAUAGAGGGAGCUUUAGGAAACUGUCAAAUGAGUUCAUUCAGGGAUAGACGGUGUUUUUAAGCUGCAGUCAGCAAAGGACCUAGAAAAGAGAAAAAAACAGGACCCAAAAGUGUCGGGUCUUUUCACAGAGUCCUCCUGAAAAUUUCAAGAAAAAUUUAAGUGCCCUGCCCUGUAAAUUUACCUGACUUUAGCGCUCACAUAUGUCCCGUCACAGCAUGAAGUCUUCCCUGUGUGUGUCUGUACGUAGAUCAAUGUGAAAUUAGUUGUCAGACAGAAUCGCACCCUUUUUACAACGGCCUUUGGUUUUACACCAGUGCCAUGGGUGGUUAAACAAACCCACGGUAUCAACAAAUGAGUGAAAAAGAAGUGCAGAGGAGAAGUGAAUGUUAGACUGUCUCACUUACUUCUGAUGUUAUUUUUAUCCUAUUACGCCUUACUCCUCUGGGUUGAUCUAUUUGUAUCAAACAGUGUCUCGUAUAAGGACGCGUAUAAAGAAUUGAUUAAGGAAUAUACGUUUACUGAUGAGACAAAAUCCGGUUACAAGUCCAGUUCGAUUUUUUCCUUCUCCUUCCUCUCUCCCAGUCAUCGCAGUUUAGGCUCAGAUUGGGACACUUGUUACCGCUUUGUCAUGUCCGCACAUAGGUAGAUCCAGAAUCCUGAGUGCUUGUCAUCCUUGGAAGAAGGAUUUGAUCAAAAGAGUUGCACUUUUCUUCAAUUCAUAAUGAGGGAUUUGAUAAAAAGAUCCAUUUUAUAAAACAGAAUCAAACACACAGCUAUUACUCGAACAAUACAAAUGGAGAGAGUAGUGAUGUGAUAAAACCGAUUCUGUACUGGGAGCAUUGUUUGAUCAGGGAUAUCAGUGUUCUGAGAUACACUUCGCCUGAAAUCUUAUUAUUUGAAUUUCAGAUACAUAAUUAGUAAACUUUAAUGAAUAAUAGCACAAACUGGCCUCCUUAUCUCUAUUUUCAACCAAGCUGCUAAACAAGACAGAACACCUGCUGCAUGUUAUAAACAGCAUCCCUGUCUCACAACUCGCAGUGAAUUUUCCUGAAGAUUUCUUGCUGCGUCUUCAGAGCAGAUCAGAAAUGAUCCAGGGGGCUAUAUUUUAUAAAAUUAGCUCAUCUGUGUUCGCUCAUAACUUCAAGAAAUUUUCAGCAACUUUGUACAUGCCUAAAAAGGGCUUGUGGUUUGUUUUGUGGGAUUAUACUGCAGUCGCUCGUAUUCAUCAGGUAGUCACUUAUUUGUGCUCAUGUCAGUCUCAGAUUUCAAGAAAGAAAACUUAAAAACUUAGAAAACUAUUCUGGGACCUUCAGCCACGGUGCUCCUUUCAUGCAUACACAUUUUAGCAGCCCUAUCAACCAUUUAUCAACAUGAUGAACUUUGAAGGAAAGUAGUGUGAUGCCUUAAGUGCUCUUUUAAUGUCAGAUUGAAAACAAAUCGUUCUACAUUACAGAUUCCAACCACAAAAUAGGUGAUUGCAUGAUUAUUUAAUCCUUUCACAAUGACACCAGCCGCAGAUUUAAGAGGAGUUGGCCCAGAAUGUGUUCAAUCACAAAGUCAUUAAUCAUAAGGACGGAACAGUUUUUCUAAUCAAAUCUGCAAACUUACUGAAAAAGAGCGUGCAGCUUCCAAAGCUCUGUACUUGGACAAGGUUAUCACAUAAAGUCCCCUUGAACAAUUCUUUGUGAGAGGUCAUUAAGAGCCUUAUGACGGUUCUGAAUGUCGCUGCAGGGUAGACACUGCAUGCGACUGUUGUCUGGCCUGAAAAAAUCUCAAAUGACAGCUUGGUUUGUGAUUGCCAGAGGUAAUGGUGGAAAGUAAACCCGAAACAGCGGAACAGAGAGAAAUAAUGAAAACCUAAAAGUGUUCUGAAAAAGAAGUGAAUCUGAGGAGAGAGGCUUCUGUUUGGACAAAAAACCCAAAGCUACACAGGAAUGAUUAUCCACGACUAGGCAUGUGCCGAUAUAAAAAAUUUGAUAUCACGAUAUUGGUGGCCCAAAAUAUCACGAAUCAAAAUAUUAUCACGAUAUUAGCGCAUUGCUUUUAACGUUAUUAAAAAUGGCAAAAAACUGCGAAAUCACUUCUCUGUGAACAGCAUGACACGCACAAACAAUAUGAGCAAGAGGCAGCUAACGCAGCGUUUGGAGCAUUAGCUUUUUGGAGCUUGUGAAUCCAAAAAAACAAGUGGAGAGAUAAAAAAAUAUCUGUAUAAGUGGAUUCGUGUGGUUGAACUUUUACGGAUCGAUGAUGUCAAACCGCAGCUCGCGCAUGCGAAUUGAAAAGAAAAACAACAACAACGAUGGCGGACAUACAGGGUAUUCUUUACAUUUGUUUUGCCCUUUUGGGGCUCAUCUCAGCCUUGCAAGUGAACCUUGUUUUAUACAAUUACAUCCACCAGUCAGCCAGCUCACAGAGGCGUCUGCUUUGUUAUAGCCGCCACACCGUCACAAGGACCCGACGCACUAGCGUAGCUUCCGCAAACAAUGCAUGACGCAUCACGCUGUUACGAUUCAUCGGCCAAUCAGGUAGCUUUGUUCCUGAAUUUUUUUUAAGCGGCACCAGAUAGGAUUGAGUUUGAAAGCUACGUGUGGACGCAGAUAUUUUUGAGAACUAACACGUGUGGACAGAUACAUUUAUUUAGACGGGAGUACAAAAAUAUCCUGAUAAAUAAAUACCUAUAUACGUGUAGUCCGGGCCAUAGUCACAUAGCUGUAACUGCCUUAAUUAGAACUGAAGUGAAGGGGCUUUCAUUUUGACUCCCAACUUCUUAAGAGAUGAGAUUAUUUGUAGAUAUUUUGUGUUUGCUCCUCUUGAAAAUUGAAGAUCCACUGGUUGAUUUUUACCAAAAGGUUAAUUGUUGUCAGACACCUUUGAACACAUCAGAGAUUAUUCAGUGCACUGCAGAUAAAAAGCUUCUUAAAUUAGAGAACUUUUAACCCACAUGAUAAUAAUAAUCACUGUGAUGCUUUCCUAGAUAUUCUCUGAUAAAGAUGUUUUGAAUGUUCUUCCAGGAGACACGAUGGAUAGUCCUGAGCGGUGUCUGUUUUCUGCACUCCCUGUCUUUAUUUGUAUUUCUGGGACAAAGCUUAAGAGUGGGUUGAUACAGUGUUGUCCCAGCGUUAGAGACUCUUACCGUGUGCAUCUGUCUCUCUUUGCGGAGACCUUAUGUGUCCCAGCCUGAGGAAGCUGGAUCCUUGAGCCUGUGAAGGCUUGUCUGUAAGCGGGUGCCAUAGUAGCCUCCCACCCUCUCAUUCAGCUUCUGUUCAGCAUUCCUGUCUGCCAAACACUUCCUGCUUUGAGAGGGUUGCCAUGGGGAUUGGCAUGCUCAUUCUGGCAUUGAUUGAGCAAUGCCACUCCUGUUUCUAAGGUAACACUUUUGAGAUUCCAGGCCUGUGGUUGGACUGACAGGAGCGCACAUGGACACGCUAACACAGGGUUUACUCUAAACAAACUCUUUUAUCAAUGUCGACGGUAAUCUGCUCAUUUUGUUGCUGCUCGGUGCCAGAGGAAUCGCUGAUUCUUCAAAUCCUUAAAGCUCUGCUGCCUGCAGGCUUUGAGCGCACAAGGUUCAUCAGCACUCAUUUGAACUCAGAGACUGCAGAUGGACUGCAGCAGUCACUGGGCCUCAGCACUGCCUGCCUCUGUUGAAUCAUUUCUGCUAUGGAAACAUGCAGUUAUAGAAGCGCAGUAGAUCUUUCUGCAUGUCAUCUGCAGAGAUGUGCAGCUUAAAUAAAGGUUAUUAAUUAUGUUGUUAUGUGUGAACGUGGCCAAGUAUUUUUUUUUUUACCAGUGCAGCGAUGCAACAGUAACUGCCUGUGUGCAUCUGAGUGCAAGCGAGAGGCUGACUUGGCUCAAAAUAGCCAUUUGUCAGUGGUAUGAUUGUGCAUGAGGCAGAACGGUGACACAGCGUAAAAACUGAAGGCUGAUAAGGUAUAGAAAAGCUUCAAAGAGUUUUUUGUGUGUCUGUGUGUGUCUCAAAGACAUAAAAGUUUUGUAAGGGCCAUGAGAAUCUCAUUUCAUCCCUUUGAACCUUUGAUGUAUAUUGCAGAACAUUUUUAGUGGUUUUCCCAGGAGGUGAGGGGAAUAUGUAUUUUAUAACAGAAGAUUGAAAAACAGACUUAAUAGCUUCUUCUCACUUAUUACACCAUGUCCAUAGAUGGAACUUUACUGCUAGCAUGCUGAGCCUGAAUGAUGCCAUACCAAACUUGGGGAGGACUGCAACAUGUCACAAAAUGCAGGAAGAAAAUGAAUGCUAUUUUUUCUGUUAUUUUGAAUGCUCUGCUCUUCAGAUUACCAAGCACACUAACAUAAAUGAGUACACCCCUUCAGAGUUGUCAGAAAAUCUUUAGUUUCCUUUCAAAAUCAACUUUUUCUAUGUCAGACUAUACAACAAAAUAUUUCCCCAAAUGUC